AACUACCACUACCCUAAUUUUACAUAAAUUACUUCCCAUCUGUCAAGUGAUGUGCUAAACUAAUUUUACGUUUUUAUAUUCCCUCAGCCCGAAUUUAUUACAAGCUUUCACUUCUCCAGUUUUUUCUAAUCCUUUUGUGCAAGAUUUUCCCUUAUAUCAAUAUCUUCAAGACUGAGAAGCAAACACAUUUUUCACCUAAAGGUACUGUUCAAACAGCCACCAAAAAAUAGAAAGGCAAGCAGUCCAGAGACUUUAAGUUGGAGGUCAAGAUCCCAAAGCAUAUGGAGGCCACUAUUCUUCCAAGUUCUCUCACAUGUCAUGUUUUUACCUCUGCCAAUCAUUCAAGGGAGUCCCCUCCUCACAAAAACUUGCACAGAUGAGCCAACCCAUUGGUUAUAUGCAAUCCUGCAACUGGGCACUCUGCUUGGGUGUCCCACAUGUACAGUUUGAAUCAUCAAUUCUUUAUUAGAGAAAAGUAAUAAUGGGGUACCUCAAAGGCCACCUAUGUUUUGCACACAGUAAGAAAUCACAAUCAAAGUCUCUUUCAUUUUUGUUGUUUUACAGAGAACUGAACAGUACAGACAUCACAUAAGGGGUGCAAGUAAACAUCCUCUUUGGAGAGAUGACCAGGUCAGAUCUCGGACAGAUCCUGCUGCAGGUUUUCAGUUCACUUCUUUAUAUAACUGUGCACUAGUUUUAUGAACAUUUUUCCUUUUAUCUUUUUCACUCUUUGUAAACAGCAGAACAAAAGCUGAAAAUCCCUGUGCUACUGCAUCACAUGGAGCUGAGCAGAUUUGCAGCUGGAUAAAGGACAAAGGACUCUGGCACCAAAGUUUUGGUCAUGUGUACUGAUGAUAUAUAGGUCCAUGCCCUUUAGGAGGAAGGUAGCAUUUACUGGAGGGAUGAGGGAGGGAAGGAAAAUUGGGCAAUUGAAGAAAAUAGUCUGUAACUGAAGUAUGUACCUUCACUCCCCCAACAGAGACACAGUCUUCACGCUUGCCUCACACAGUGUUUGGGUCUGCCUCUGCUUGGAUAGCCACUCUUUGCCGGCCUCAUAAUCCAAAGCUUCUGAAGCAAACAGCAGUUUAUUUAACUCCCAGGGCUAUUCCAGAAUGCUGGGGUGGCCUCCCAGCACAGAAUGCAGCUGUCUAAUACUGCAACAAUUGGUGUCAGGAUCCAGAGGCAUCUUAAACACUCAACCUCCAGUGCUCACUGUAAACCAGAUUGAAAAACCCACACACCCUGAAGCUGCACAUUCUCCUCCUGCUUCCUCAGGCAUUCAGCAAUUUGCUGGGCAAUCAAGAUUAUAGCCACAGAUAACCUCUCUGCUUAUGAGAAACUGCAGCUGGGUAAAAGGCUUGCUUCACAAAGGUAGGAGAGGUGACUGAUGGAGCAGCUUCCAACUCAUGGAAGUGUUUUCCCUAACAUUGCUAUUUCAGAACCACCUAGUGCAUGACUGACAACUGAUACCUCACAGCACCUCCAGAGUGGAACAGGACAUGUUGCAGAGAUUCAGACCGUCUGUUUGAGGGCACGUCUUGUUCCAAAUCCCAAGCUUUUUUCUAGUUUUCUGCUGAACUUUCUUUCAACAGAGCACUGUGUGAGGACAGAGCCAGUACAAGGGGAGGUACACUCCCAGGAAGCAAGAGGUCAAGUCAAAUAGGAAAAAUAAUUAUCUUUUUCUAACAUUUCAGACUUUAAAAGAAAACAAGCAACAAAUGGCCUCAAAGAGAGGCCAGCACAAAGCAUAGUUGCUCAUCAGUUUCCUUCCAAGGGUUCAAACGACAAGCAUUCAGGGAAUAGGGGAGGAAAGAACAGCACUAAUUUGUUUUUCCUGCUGGUAUUCCUUCUCUAAGCUGCUAACCCAGACCAACUGCCAGUUCUUUUCCACUCUGUCCUGACCCUGUGGCAUCCCCCAGGUAAGGUCUGAUACGGCCACUGAGCUGCUGAAGGGUAGUUAACGCUCCAGUACAGCACAUACAAAAAUUCAUCCUCUCUGAACUAUUGAUUCUGUCUCACUGUUACUGACCUACUGAUGCUUUUUUCACAUUUUCAAGUUUGAUCUGCAGCAGCUGCAACAGUCAGAACCAUUCUUUGAAGUCUUUGUUUCUUCCUGAAAUUAAAAGUUCAGAUUUUUAGGUACUCGCAUAACUCCAGGAACUUGUACCCUGAAGCUUUUCUAAUCCUGUUCUGUUUGUAAUCCUGCUUUUGCCACAUAAACCACUUUAAAAGUAUUUUAUGACUUUGCAUAUGCUUAGGAGCCACCAAACCUAAUGUGUGUUGUUUCUGUAACUAGCGUAACUCUCCCUUGCAGAGGAAGCAUAAUUAAUCACAUCUUUGAAGUCAUCUUUCCUCCUUCUAUCACACACCUGGACAAGCAAUCCCCUUUCCAAAGGCUGUGAAGGCAGCCUCUCCUUGCACAGCUUCUCUUCACUACUACUGUCUGCAUCUCCCUCCUCCUCCAGCUGCUCUGUCCUCCUGUUUGGUGAACAUACAGGAGGAUUUCAGCCCUUUCUCUCACCCACAGCUAAUUUUGACAGUAUGGUAACAACACAAAUCUCAGUGAUGCAGUACUGCCUAACAGGAGGUGGAGACUGAUGGCUCCCCAUGGGCGCAGUCGUUUCACCCACCUGAGUCUGAACCCAGUUUGACAGAAAUAUUUAUGCACAGAAGGCAGCCAGGCCUCCCCACACGUCUCCUCUGAGAGGGAGCUUAAAGGCUUUAUUUAUUUCAAAGGCAAAAGCAUCUCUGAAUCAUACAAGUGAGCUUUUAGCAGGAACGAGUUAAGAACCUAUGCUGUGCCCAUCCUGCUGUAAACUAGUCAAAGUUACAAUCUCUGCACCCUGGAGUAUAUGAUACGACUCAAAUGAUCAGCUGCCAUGUGUCAGCAUGCAAGGUUUGAUCUGUCCCACACAGGUGUAAGAAAUUUUUUUUCCAUCUUUAUCUAUUUAGGAUUGGGCUUUUCAGAAAACAUAAUGGAGGAUUCACAUCCCUGAAUUCAAAUGGAGCAGGGUAACCUAACCUAUUUUGCAGAUGACAGCCUUAGCUAACAAGAUUCUAGUGGGUUAGGACUGAGCUGGGUGUGCAACUGGGCUGUACAGCACCUUAGGACAUUGGUUUCAAGAGCCCCUCUGAGACUACUGCUUCCCCAGUUAGGACUGGGAUUGCUGCAGGAGACAUCCCUAGGGUGAGGGCAGAGGGGAAUAACUGGAAGGCCACAGGCUGGUCACUCUUCACCUAAUGGAAGUCUGGGGUAUUACUGAUGGAUAAAUAAAGCUGAGCUCUGGUAAUCAAAGUAAGCAUACACAUCUGUGCAGAUACCUGGCCUCACAUAGAGAUUUAUUUGAAUCAGGAACACCAAGGCAAUUCAUCCUCUCUUAACAGCCUCAUUCCCUGCUCUGUGUGCUCACUACCCAUGGUGCUCAGCUAUGCAAUCGUUCCCCUUCUUCCCUCUCUGUGCUUUCCUGCAGCAAGUAGUUGCUAAAUAUAAUCUGACAGCUUACUUUCUCUGGUCCAGAGCCUCAACAUCCAUGCACUGCUUCUCUGUGCCAGAAGCUCUGUUUUACAAGUCAAACCAUAGUCUCCCUCCCAGCUCAUAUCAAAAAUGAGCAGAUCUUCAAGUCCUCUCUCUUUCUAUAUCCAGCAUUGUUGGAAUGGGCUCACACAGCAACUGCAGUAGCACAUCCCCCAAAAAUCUAGCAGCCUCAGAGCCACACAACCAAGAAUUAAUUUUUGCAAAUGCCAGCGAGCCCUUAGCUCUAUAAUCAGUUCAUCCACUAACACUAGUUCCAGUUUGCCUUAAUUCUAAGUCUCUUUGAAGCCAUCACACACGUAUAAUUUCAUCAGGUAGUGGAGCUCUCAUAUCCAAGUGGUACCUUACCACUUUUCUGCUCCCUUCUGCCUCACCAAUGUCAAAAGGUGCCAUAUUCCUCUAAUGUGCACUCACUGAGAUGUCACUGAAACCUGUUUUCUAGAUGUAUUUCCUGACCUAUUGCACACCAAAUCUCAAGGCCAAAUCUCUUAAUUUUAUUAAUUCCAGAAAAAUCUAAUCCUUGUCAGUAUACAUGGCACUUCCAGUGAAAGAGGUUUUUUAGCCUAACAACUUGUUAGUUGUGCUCCUUGAUUCAGAAAUCCACAGCUCAUUAGAAUACUGUUGUUUAGGUGUGUACAUCACUAGGAUAAAGGGAUUAUUUCAGGGCACAGACGAGCUAUCAUCUCUAAUAUGUAGGAAGAGGAGCAGAAGAGCAAACACAUACAGCUGGUGCGCUUUUGCUUCUUUGUUGCCAAUCUGAUAUUUCAAGCUGUUUUCAUACAAAGGAAAAAGCAGAAUGGAGAAAUCUUUAUCUUAAAAAAAUGGCUGGGAGCUCAGUGAAUUCAGCAGCUCUCAGGAUAAAAUACCCACAGUACAUUCCCCCUGGCUGCCUCCUCAGAAUCCAGCAGUAUUUCUCACAGCUUUCCAUUAACCACUUUUAUUAUCUGAACGUCUGCCCACAUGAGUAAUUGAGUGAGUCACAUCAGAAAAAGACUUGUGGAGUUUUAUGAGGAGACUGUACUGUAAAAUUUUUUGAAAUCACAGUUUAAUUUACAGCAUGAAGAUUUUUAGCUCUGGUGACAAUUUGAAGACCAGUGCAGCAGUGGGAGAAACAAACACAGAGGUGAUAAGGAUUUCCAGUUCUUGAAGGUAAUUGAGAAAAUGUGAUUGCUCAGCUCAGUUUUCCACACUGGAACAGUACAGCUAUAAAAUAUAUAAAGGCUAAAGCAUGAUGUAUGCUUGCAGUAUUUUCAUCUUUACUAUGUAAAAAUCACCAUCAAGCUUCCUCAAGCAAAAAAGGCAUUCACUGUGUACUACAGUGUAUAUACAGCAACAGACUCUACCUGCUUAUCACUGCUGGGAUAUGAAAACAGAGGCCAGACAACUCCCGUAUAAUUUCCUUUUUUCUUUGCAUUAUGGCAAUACUAGACUUGUGAAGACAUCUAGGUGUUUAGUCAAGUAGGUCCUUGACUGUUCGGGAGUAUUCAAAAUCCAAGUAUCCAAGCGGAUCCAAAAACUUGGGUUCCAACAGUAGAAAGCCACAACUAGAAUUUCAGUGCAGCUGUGCCAGACCAACAUACUGGACAGUCAGUGGUAUUCAAUGCAAUUGUACAGCAUAAAUAAUAGUCAUGCAAAGGACUGCAGAACCAAGCCCAUGGCUGAGGUUAAUUUAGAGCAUUCUGUUAACAACCAAUCAAUCUGCUUCCUCCUUUAGAACAGUACAUCAAAUCCAGGUGCAGGGUCUGUCAAAUUCAGUAUGAAUUCUGCAUACCAGAAGAACAAAGUGCUCUCUCUGCUCCCAAAUAUCUCACUUAUCAAUGAAUGUGGGGUGGCUGCAACCAUUGGUUUCCCAUGAUAUGCUAUGAUGCAUUCUUGCAGGCAUCCCUGUCAGCUCCUGUUGACUCUCAUGGCUCACUCUACUCCUCCCCAAGCACCUGCUGCUGGUAGGUUCUAUCAGUGAAGAUGUAGGGAAGUUGAUCUUAGUCUCUUAGAUCUGAGCCUUGCUUAUUCUGUAUCAGGUCUUGGCCAAUAUGAAACAAUGCUGCCAAGCACCCAUUUCCACACUUUUGACAGUAUGAAUUUUGCUUUUUUAGACACCGUUAUCUGCAUCCUCUCUUUCCCCCUAAGGUCAGGAAAAAAGUCUUAAUGGGUGAAUCGUCCCUUCUGUUUUCUGUAUGACUAUUCAUUCCCUCCCAGCCUCCCCUCCCCAGGGUUUCUGAAUACAAAGUACUUUAGGAAUCAUUUAGUCUAUUGUUGAAACACGGGCUCUGAGCUAGCAGGUACACAGCACUGCUGGAGUAUCUUUUUCCAUCAGUUAAAUUAAAGAACUGAAUCCAGCUGAUGGCUGGGCUCACCAAGACCUCUUUUAGAGAGGAUACUCAGGGCCUUCUGCUGUAAAGCUCUGAAGGGGAAGAUGAUCACUUUAUCCUUGCUGCAGUGUCUGAGUCACCACUGAAUUGGAAGCAACUGUUUAAAAAAAAAAAAAGAAGCCUUUUUUGGUGAGACUUCAAAGUUAGCAGCCAAGCAGGCACAGCAUUGGAUGUGCCAGGCUCGUGACAGAACUGACCUGCCUGGAUGCCAGCAGGGAGGUGGGAGCAGAGCGUGCCAAUGCCCGUGAGUUGCUCUGCACUGCAGAGACUGGAGCAGAGAAGCUUCAGAGAGGUUCAGAGGUGGCCCCAGCACUGACACCCCCAUAGCAAGAGCAAGCAUUCUGUGUGUCACUGGAGCAUCACUUGUCCAACUACAGGCAUGUUUCACUCUCAUCAAAGUAACCAAGAUGCUCACCAGGGACAUCUUUUAGCUGGUUUCUCUGCUCUUUCAGCUCUGCAUCCUCUCCUCUGGCCAAGGCAAAAGGCCUCAGCUACCUCAUCACAACUACUAUCACUUAACUGUGCAUCAAUUAAAAUUAAGAUUUUUUGCCAAGUUACACUAGUUUUAAUGUAAAAUCCUACAAGAUUUGUCCUUGUGACUUUUAAGUUGUCUAGCAUUGAUUUAUUUGAACUACUUUUCCCAUUAAAGAGAUGAUCAAGUGCUUGCACCAAAGAUGUUGGAGCAGAUAUAGAACUAUGACUGAUGCUUCCUGCUCCUGGAAGCAGGAUUUCUUACAGGAGCAUUAAGAUCAUAGAAAUCACACAUACUUCAUUUAUCUUGGGAGCAGGCUCCUCAGUGAAAGAAACUAGAAUGACCUGAAAAGUAGGGGGAAAAAUUCUUUCCACUCCAGCCCUCCCCCAAAUCUUUUUGUGGGAAACACAACUGUGUUUCUGAUGCUAAAAUUCACAGAUUUAAAAAUACUUCUCUUCAAGGAAUGUUGCUAUGGAAACCUUUACCGUGUCUUCUUCCCCACCCUCCAUAUGUGAAGAACAUUUUCUUCGUCUUUCUUUUUCCUGCAUGUGGUAGUUCCUCUUCUCUGUCUGCUACCACCAAAACCCUGGCAUUGAAUUCUAAGAGAUGUCAAACAGGCCUUUUGUUUAGUUGAAAAGUCAUUGCUAAAACCCACUCCCAAGCUUAACAACAAAGAGAUGUCAAGAUGGGUUCUCUCAGGCUCCAGAGAAAUGCCUGGAAUAUUUUCUAGCGUAAGUUCUUGCUUUGGACAAGUGGAAAGAACAGGAGCUGCCAUGGUCAUUAAAACAGUUUAACUUCCUGGUAGCAUAACCCUUAAGUAAUCAAGAUUUUCCUUUUUUUCCUGAAGGUAUUCAGGAAAGUAUGUACCACAUUCCUUUUGUCCCAAAGCCACAAGACAAUCUGAGCACAAAAAGGAAGUCAAUAAUUGACUAUGCAGAAGCUACACUGGGGGGCAUCUGAAUCUCCACAGCUCCACCAAAAGCAGAUCUGACAUGUUAAAGCCAAGAGCAGAAUUGUCUUUGUCUGGUGCCCACAGAGGAUGGCAUCAGCUGUUAACCCUGUAAGAGCUGACAGGAUUGCAUUCAGGCUAGCACACCUCAGACAAGAGCAAAAACAUCUUUAAACAAGCAGCGGAUUUCCUGACCUGGAAGGUACCGGCGAAAAUACCAACAUCUGUAGAAGUAAGAACUGCAGUUACCAACUGCAGAGUACUCUGUCUCCGCAAGCAAUAAAAGCAGCUCUAAUGGGAGGCACACACUCUUGGCCUGCUUUGUGGUGCACAGGCAGCUGUGUAUGGCUUAAGCAGACACAGCUGCAGGCUGAGAAACCCCUCACCUACCACCACACAGCUGCUGGCUGGGGAGGGGGGCUAGGAACUGGAAAAAAAAGAGAAGUCAGGUGUAUGGAGAAAAGGCUUAUAAAGAUCAGAUAAAGAGAGAAAUGUAAGAGAAAAAAAGGAAGAACCAGAAUGUGAACAGUAAGUCAGAUGGCAAUUACUCCAAUGUGAUGAUGGGGUAGGAGGCUCCUGCCUUGCAAACCAUUCAGUGGGGCUCUGAAUGGAGCUAUCCUAUGAUUGGCAAAAAAGAAAGGAAGAAGCAGGAAAAAGCAUGUGAACAUGCAGCAUCUGAUGCUUCUUUGGCAAGCAUACAUUUUGGAGAAGGAAGAGGAUUCUUUGAAAGGCUUUUAGGUUAUUAAGUACAACAUUAAUCUGGAGCCCUAUGAAAUCAGCACUCUCCAGUAUUUGCAUAACCAGUCUCAUACUGACCCAGUGCUGAAUAAAUUGCAAGCAUCUGUCGAUUUCUGAUGUUGAUUAGAUUAGACACUGCCCUCAGAAUUGUCAGGAUAGACUCCCUUUCUUGGGGCUUUGCUCUGCGGUUUUAUUUCAUUUCAUUAUAUUAUUACUGAUGCUUCUGUUUUCUCAGGGGCCAAACCAAUUUUAUUCCUCUUGGUUUACUAGCAUUUCUCAGUCAUUCUUUUUCUUGCAACCCCACAGCACAGCAAGAUUACAUAGCAUGAGAACUAGUGGUGCUAUUCCCACCCCACUUUAUUUCUCUCUUUCUCACACUCACACAUACUUCUCACAGGAUAUAUCUGCUCUUCCUGACAGAUAUAGCUCAAGGGAGGGAAAGACACUUUGAAUAAAAAUACCUAUAUAUAGAGAAAGGCUUUGUCCUUGUGUCUUCAAGGUCUUAUUUAGCUAGGAUUCAGGAAGAAUUCCACUGGAUAAGAGGGGCACUCUUACCCAGCUCUGGCUGCUAUUGGAAAGAGGCUGGGUUAACCAGAGCUCUGGUCCUUGACUAGUUGAACAUUAGUUCA